rnacentral:rRNA from 1 species
UACUAGCGGUCCAAGUCGCAGCCAUUUUUAUUGGGUCUAAAACAUCCGUAGCUUGCUUAGUAAGUUUCUUGUGAAAUUUUGUAUCUUAAGUACAGAGCGUGCAAGAAGUACUGCCGAGCUAGAGACUGGGAGACGUAGGAAGUAUGUUCAAAGUAGCGGUAAAAUGUUUUAAUCUUGAACAGACUCACAAUAGCGAAGGCAUCCUACGAGAACAGUUCUGACAGUAAGGGAUGAAGGCUAGGGUCGCGAAAGGGAUUAGAUACCCCAGUA